GUCCAUUUGAUUUUUUAACUUAGUUCUCAAGAUUUUCUAGAGAAUCAUUUCUUGGUAGUGAUUUUCUGUUUUCAGAAUGGAGAAGGAGAUGCUUACAGGCUUCUGGGUGUAAAAUGGCUUCCUCAAUCCAGCGCUUUGAUGGAUCAAAGGGAGACAGUAAUAGACUAUUCCGUGACCCGCCCUUGAAGCGUCAGGCGAGCUCAGCUGAGCACUUGGGGAAAAGUACUGAUGGAGCAGAGGGUUUUUAAAAACAGGGCCCAGGUGUUUUUCCUGGCCUGGAAACGCUGCCAGUUUUACUUCUUGCCACCCCUUUGAUCACCUUUGGAACAAGCAGGGGCUGUGAAGAGAACAGUCAGGCUCAGGCACCACCAUCCCUUGCCUUAGAAGUCUGGGUGUUACUGGGAGGUGCUGACCAAAUGGCGUCUGUGUGUUGGGGUGGUGGGGGGGCCUCCCUUCCUGGGGCCUCUCAGGAUGGGAGAGGACAGUGCUUUGUGGCGUGAAGGCACUGCGGAAGAGGAACAACGAGCCUACUCCUUGGGAAGCAGAUACGACCUGUGGGUCUGUCACACAUGGGCAACGAAACCUCUGUGUGUCCUCGCCCCUGGGGCUCACCUGCUGCAGGCCCCAUUCAUCACCCGAGAGUGAAAGAAAGGACAGAGCACAGCAUGGCCAGGCCUCCAGCCCAGGGAGAGAGAAACGUUAAUGCUAAAUCAAGUUCAGAGAUUUGACUGUUACCGUGGACUAGACAUCCCAAUUACUGAGCUGGAAGUGUCUGAAUCUGAGAGUCACCAGGGGAAACUGUCUUUUACAGAAGGGAAGGCCUGCAGAAUUUCCUUCCAGUGGCAGGGGAAGGCGUCUCCUCUGAACAAUUUUAAAGGGCCAGUGGGAGAAAAAUAAAUGGUUUGUUCACACGUGUUUGUUCAACAUAAGGUAGUUAAGACGUGUUUUGUUGAGUGUCCGUUAGUUUAUCAGAGGUGUCCUGCAUUUCAUCAGUGCUGUCACAAGCCAGGGCCUGCCUGGAGAUGAUCCCUGCCCCGGGGACCAAUGCGGGAGAUGCCCAAGACGACCACACUGCAGUUCACUGGGCUUGUUCUUAGGGAGUUGCUAACCCUGCCCCGGAGAUCUCAGAGGUCCUCACAGGCCCUCGGGCUGGUCCUGGUGUCCUGGGCACCACUGUGGUUGCCCAUCCUAAGAGGGAAUGGAACUGCCACCAGUAUAACUGGAAUCCAGUAACUGCUCAGGCAAAAGACUGUAGCCCCAGUCAAGGAAAGCAGGACCAUCCCCUGGGCAGAAACAUGAGUUCACAGCAAAAAGACAAGCUAGGGAGGAAAAGACGUUUGGUUGACAAUGACCUCCGCAGUGUCAUCAAAGCCUGGCUGAGCCUGUGAGAUUAGCACUAAGUACCGCCACUUAAACUAUUCUGGGCAACUGUUUCUAUUUCUGUGAUGGUUUACAUCUUUUUUUCACAAAAUCAAAGAACAUUAAGCAGCUGAGGGAAC
rnacentral:lncRNA from 10 species